CCAAUUUGAAAGAUUUUGGAUCCGAAAAAAUUCCACAUGAAUCUGAUUCAUGUGAACUCCAAUUAGUUCAAUUUUCAUAUCAAUCCGAGUCACACUUGGACUAGAAUAAAUAUGGAAUAAAUUCUAAUAAAAUCAUCAUUAAGCCCAAUUACAUUCAUUUGAAUCCAAUUCAAAAACAAACUCAACAAAUGAGUCCAAAUCAAUUUCAAUUACAUUAAUUGAAACUUGAUUAAGCCAGAAUACAGACAUAAUUAAAUACACAUCCAUGAAAUUCAGUAUGUACCUCAUGUUCAGUGUUAGCUGAACAUAGACAAAACCAAAUCUCAAAUGACCCACAAUUUAAUUCUCAAUUAAAUUGGAUCAAGUCCUUCCUACUUAACUUGACUUAUGUGCGUGACUCCGAUAGGUUCGAAUACUAAGCCGGUAGUACAUGAACCACUCUAUGCACUAAUCGAGGUGACCAUCUAGCAAUGAUACCCGAUGUCCGGAUAGGUCGAAUAUGCAAAGCAACAUCAAA
rnacentral:lncRNA from 1 species